AUUGAACGCUGGCGGCAGGCCUAACACAUGCAAGUCGAACGAGUGGCGGACGGGUGAGUAAUGUCUGGGAAACUGCCUGAUGGAGGGGGAUAACUACUGGAAACGGUAGCUAAUACCGCAUACCAUCGGAUGUGCCCAGAUGGGAUUAGCUAGUAGGUGGGGUAAUGGCUCACCUAGGCGACGAUCCCUAGCUGGUCUGAGAGGAUGACCAGCAACACUGGAACUGAGACACGGUCCAGACUCCUACGGGAGGCAGCAGGGGGGAAGAUUGCACAAUGGGCGAAAGCCUGAUGCAGCCAUGCCGCGUGUAUGAAGAAGGGCUGCGGGUUGUAAAGCACUUUCAGCGGGGAGGCGUUACCAGCAGAAGAAGCACCGGCUAACUCCGGGUCAGCAGCCGCGGGAAUUC
rnacentral:rRNA from 1 species